AUUGGCAGAUCUUCUCCCGUGCGGCCGCCAACUCGACCUCGAGGGAGCUGAUCUUGGAGGCCUGAGUCCAAGAUCAGUCGCUGGCGUGUUUCUGGUGUUCCUUGAGCUCCUUCUUGAAGUUGGCCUUCUUCCGACUGUAGUCCAUGAAGUUCCUUUUGUGGAGGUUUCGAAGGUGAGUAAUCUCCACGGUGGCUUCCGAAUGGCUCUUCCUCAGCCUGUUAAGUUCGUCGUCCAUCUUCUUUGAUUUCUUCGUUAGGUGACGAACUUCUCUUCUAAGAUCCUGGAUCAUAAACUUCAAAGGAAUUCCUUGUGGUAGGGAAAGAGCUUCGAUAGGGUACUGUUGUCGGAAAACAAGAGCAUCACAAUGCAAAUCAUUGCAAGAAAAAAAAAGGAGGAAAAAGGAAGUAGAAAGAGAAAAAGGAGCUCCCUAUAAAGAGAAAUCCGAUUUCAUUGAUUGAAUAAUUCUUAAGUACAAGAGAAAGAGAAAAAAAAGUUGUAACAAAAGAAAAGUGUAAAAUUAGAGGUCUCAGACCUCUGGAGCAGAAGUGGAGGAGCUCGGCACCUCCGGAAGGUCGGUCACGGUAGCUGCGACAGUUGAAGAGGUCCCGACUGGAGGGAGACCGACAGCAGCUUCGGAAGGUCCAGCUUCAUCAUCGGACACUUCAUCCAGGAAGCUGAGGUCGAGUUCGAGAAACUUUUCGACCACCUUCUCCUGGCAAAGCUUGAAGCCUUUGAUAAAGGCGGCCUGGCCGAACUUGAUAUUCAGAUUCCUC
rnacentral:lncRNA from 1 species